AUUAUAGACUACUAGUAUAAUUUCUUCCUCAUGUAAUUGGUGGAGUUCAUCAGUAAACCCAUCCAGAUGUGGUGUUUUCUGUUUUGGAAGGUUGGAAUGUCCCUGGUGGAGGGUUCCACAUUCACGUGCAGUGUGGGGAGCAUGAGAGAUGGAUCUGCAGCUCCGGAGUCGGAGAAGGUUGCUGUAGCUUGUGCCCACUCUCCUCAAAACCAGCCUGGACCUGGAGUACAGCCUUUUACUCUCUUCAGACCCACCAUGCCUCUUUUCCUCAUCUUUUGCUUGUCCUAAAAUCCUUUGAGUGUCC
rnacentral:lncRNA from 1 species